GAUGAACGCUGGCGGCGUGCCUAAUACAUGCAAGUCGAGCGAACAGACGAGGAGCUUGCUCCUUUGACGUUAGCGGCGGACGGGUGAGUAACACGUGGGUAACCUACCUAUAAGACUGGGAUAACUUCAGGAAACCGGAGCUAAUACCGGAUAAUAUUUCGAACCGCAUGGUUCGAUAGUGAAAGAUGGCUCUGCUAUCACUUAUAGAUGGACCUGCGCCGUAUUAGCUAGUUGGUAAGGUAACGGCUUACCAAGGCAACGAUACGUAGCCGACCUGAGAGGGUGAUCGGCCACACUGGAACUGAGACACGGUCCAGACUCCUACGGGAGGCAGCAGUAGGGGAUCUUCCGCAAUGGGCGAAAGCCUGACGGAGCAACGCCGCGUGAGUGAUGAAGGUCUUCGGAUCGUAAAACUCUGUUAUUAGGGAAGAACAAACGUGUAAGUAACUGUGCACGUCUUGACGGUACCUAAUCAGAAAGCCACGGCUAACUACGUG
rnacentral:rRNA from 1 species